CGCAGCCGCGGUAAUUCCAGCUCCAAUAGCGUAUAUUAAAGUUGUUGCAGUUAAAAAGCUCGUAGUUGAAUUUCGGGAUCAAUUAAUUGGUCGUGCCUCUGGUACGUACUGAUUUUAUUGGUUUCUCCCUUCUGACGAACCAUGAUGUCAUUAAUUUGGUGUCGUGGAGAAUCAGGACUGUUACUUUGAAAAAAUUAGAGUGUUUAAAGCAAGCUAACGCUUGAAUACAUUAGCAUGGAAUAAUGAAAUAGGACGUUUGAUCCUAUUUUGUUGGUUUCUAGGAUCGACGUAAUGAUUAAUAGGGAUAGUUGGGGGCAUUAGUAUUCAAUUGUCAGAGGUGAAAUUCUUGGAUUUAUUGAAGACUAACUACUGCGAAAGCAUUUGCCAAGGAUGCUUUCAUUAAUCAAGAACGAAAGUUAGGGGAUCGAAGACGAUCAGAUACCGUCGUAGUCUUAACCAUAAACUAUGCCGACUAGGGAUCGGAUGAUGUUAAUUUUUUAAUGACUCAUUCGGCGCCUUA
rnacentral:misc_RNA from 1 species